rnacentral:rRNA from 1 species
AUUGAACGCUGGCGGCAUGCCUAACACAUGCAAGUCGAACGGGGCAGCAAUGCCUAGUGGCGGACGGGUGAGGAAUACGUAGGAAUCUGCCCUUAAGUGGGGGAUAACCAGGGGAAACCCUGACUAAUACCGCAUGAUCUCUUCGGAGCAAAGAGGGGGACCGCAAGGCCUCUCGCUUCUGGAUGAGCCUACGUCUGAUUAGCUAGUUGGUAGGGUAAAGGCCUACCAAGGCGACGAUCAGUAACUGGUCUGAGAGGAUGAUCAGUCACACCGGAACUGAGACACGGUCCGGACUCCUACGGGAGGCAGCAGUGGGGAAUAUUGGACAAUGGGCGCAAGCCUGAUCCAGCAAUGCCGCGUGUGUGAAGAAGGCCUUCGGGUUGUAAAGCACUUUAGCCUGGAAAGAAAAAACUUUGGUUAACACCCAAAGUCUUGACGGUACCAGGAGAAUAAGCACCGGCUAACUCCGUGCCAGCAGCCGCCGUAAGAC